GUCUAGUCAAAGCUAUGGUUUUUCCAGUGGUCAUGUAUGGAUGUGAGAGUUGGACCAUAAAGAAGGUUGAGGGGCAAAGAAUUGAUGCUUUUGAACUGUGUUGUUGGAGAAUCCCUUGGACAGCAAGGACAUCAAGCCAAUCAAUCCUAAAGGAAAUCAAUCCUGAAUAUACAUUGGAAGGACUGAUGCUGAAGCUGAAGCUCCAAUACUUCAGCCAUCUGAUGUGAAGUGCUGAAUCGUUAGAAAAGACCCUGAUGCUGGGAACGAUUGAAGGCAGGAGGAGAAGGGGAAGACAGAGGAUGAGAUGGUUGGAUGGCACCACCAACUCGAUGGACAUGAGUUGGAGCAAGCUCUGGGAUAGACAGGGAAUCAUGACUGGCAUGCUGCAGUCAAUGGGGUCACAGAGAGUCAGACACGACUGAGCGACUGAACAACAGCAACAACAACAGCAACAGCAACAGCAACGGCGUGGCCUGUAAGGAACAUAGCCUAGGCAUGAGCAUCGAUGAUCUGGCUGCCAGGUCUGUGCACAGGGUCAAUCGGCAGCCUCAAGAUAGAUGAAGCUGGUGCCUCCCACAAGGCAUCUGAAGGCUGCUCUAAUGGCAGCUGAGAGUGAUUCAUAGCAUCAAUAGCUUCAUCAUUUAAUUAGUCUUUGAAAACAAUCCAUCCUUUUAGCUAGGUAUAUCUGUCACAAUCUUUAGACAGAAGAGACUUAUUUACAAAUUAUUUUCUUUAUAGGUAGUGAAAAGCCAGAUACUGUCCUAAAUUGUCCAUAUCAUCGUACACUCUGGAUUUAGGAAGAUAACAGUUAAAAACUGCUCACUCACUGCAAGGAAGAAACCCACCAUCUCGCGUCACUGGUGAUGCUGACCAGAGUCUUCUCUUCACCCCCUAGAGCCCCGCUCCUGUUUUUUUUCUUUAAAGGUUUUUUGGAUGUGGACUAUUUUUAAAGUCUUUAUUGACUUCGUUACAACACUGCUUCUGUUUUGUAUUGGUUUUCUGGCCACGAGUCAUGUGGGAUCUUAGCUCUCUGACCAGGGAUCGAACCUGCACCCCCUGCAUUGGAAGGUGAAAUUUUAACCACUGGAGCACCAGGGAAGUCCUCCCCUGUUGUUUUAAUAAACUCAGCACCUGAAGGUAACUCAAGGCGUGAGUUCUGCCUCUCCUGCCAAGGUUCUUCAGGUUUGCUGAGAAACCUCUCUCCCACGGCCUCUAAAAUGGGUGCAUGUUUAUCUUCCCUGCUGUCUAGGAGCUCACAAGGAACUGAACUGCAGUUGACAUUCAAGGUGAUGGCUGCCUCUUCCUUCACCCUGGAGGCUUGGGAUGAUGCGUUGGUUGCUAGUGUUGUCACUGGCAGCAGGAGUGAGCAGUGAAGUGUGGAAUGGCUGGACCUCAGGCACUGUCAAAAAGAAGGGAAAGUAUGGAUUGUUUGCUGACAGCUGCAGCCUUGACUGUAGAAGCAGAAGAGGUCCCAAGGGUCAAUUGCAUCCCUACCUGGCUGGACUACAUCCCAGUUGGCUUGAGAAUAUCCAGCUGCCAGGGAGGUACCUGGAGGUGGAGUUAGAGCUGGCAUGGAGAAUGGGGGUCCAGGGCAGAAAACCAACCUCCAACCUUUGUCAUCUUCCCCUAGGAAGUCCCCUUUCUCUCUGGUUCUGGAUUGAAAGCUUCUUUCCUGGGUGACUUUGGGACCUUGACAUCCUCCAGGGGACAGGGCAGUGGACUGGAGCUUUGUGACUAUCCAGAUGUCAGACUCAGCCUCCCCAGGCAGGACCUCUGACAGUUGCAAGGCACUCUGUUCCCGACAAAGCACUUCUGCAUACAUAGCUUCUUCAGGCUUCCUGAUGGCUCUGAACCACGCUUACCACUUUACUGGAUUCAUUGUGAUAAACGGCCAGAUCAUACCAUCGAAACAUUCUUUGCUCCUCCAAGCUUCUUUUGAGCACAUGUAACUCGAUGGAUCGUAGAGCCUCGCCCUGCAAGGUGCUUCUGAAAGCACAAUGGAGAGGGGCAUCGCUUGUCAGCGGCAAGGGCUGUCUUUGCCUGGUGCUCAUUGACUGGCUGCCUCUUUCGCUCUGUGCUAAGCAGUAAGCAGACACAGUCUCUCCCCAGGUGUCCUACAAACUGUGCUUGCACUGGCUGCCUCCCAGUCUGCUCAUAAAGCGGAAUGAUGCAGCCUGUGAGCUGAGCUGCCAUACGGGUGGUGCUGGGCUGCUGCAUUUGUGAGAUUCUGAAUGACCCAGGAGACCCAACUCCUGGGAACAAGAGGAGACUACACACAAACAGGAACAAUCCUUAUCAGUGUGUGUAAUCAGUGACUGUUAGGCCUACUAAAAUGCACAGUGUGGAAUAUCAUGCCAUUUGAUCAGGCUUUAAAAAUGUCCAGAGAAAUGCAUCUGAAUAAAGAGUGCAUGUCCUUGUGUGUGUGCUAAGUCGCUUCAGUUGUGUCUCUUUGCGGCCCCAUGGACCCCGUGGG
ensembl:lncRNA